CUUAAUACUUUCCCGAUUGGAAGAACCAGUUGCCAACAAUAAAAUGCCCUUCUAGAAAUUCAUCCACUCUGCGCUGGAGAACCGUCAUGUAAGCCGUGGUGCGCCAGCUUUAAGUGGCAAAAACAAUCAAAACAGGCCGAAAACAUCAAUCUCGGCAACAGAUACAGGGGGAUGACAGAUGGUGAUUUCAGCCUACCGCACAUCAUUUGCAAUAUGGCGGAGAUUGUUUGUAAACAUCACACAAAACAUGCUAGCAGAAAAAAAACAGCGACAAGAGCGAAAAAUUCUUAAAAGUAGGUAGUUCGAUUAUUUUCAUUCGUGCUUCAGUUUCGAAUGUAGUAGGCAAAAAGGCAAGCUCCACCGGGACGUCGCUUCCAAGCUAGAAUUUCCCGUUUGCUGCCCCGUCGUCUACUGUUCAAACUUCCAUGGCCCACCAUGUUCCGCCACGGUUGGAGAUGGCCACUAUCGCUUCUUCAGAUGCCGGCAACUAAAGUAGCCCAAACACCUAUGGAAUCGACGUGCUGCCGAAUCUUUCAGUGCCCAGAAUAUGGCUAACUAGUUCAGCCAGGCCAAACCGACCAGCACCAGCUAGGCCCGGAAGAAGAACAAAAAUUGUAUAUCAAAAUAAAUGUUGCACUGUUCUUUCUCCGCUUGGA